ACACGGCGAAACCGCGGACGGCUCAUUAAAUCAGUCGUGGUCCGAAUGGGCUAGUGUUAUCCUACUUGGAUAACUGUGGUAAUUCCAGAGCUAAUACAUGCGACUGAAAUCCAGAAUUGUUGCGUUUUCUCUCUCUCACUGCGAGGGGGGGGAGCGUUAUUAUAUGACGGAUGCUUUUAUUAGACCAAACCGCUGAGAGAGACGUAUGUAUAGCGCACAUUGUGCGCGGUCUCUCGUAGACUCGUGUUAUGGUGACUCUGAAUAACAAACCACUCUGACAAGCGCACGUAUCCAUUUGUUUGGGACGGCGCUGCCACUUUCGAGUGUCUGCCUUAUCAGCUAUGUAUCGUUGGUUAUGUGCUACCGAUGGCUUUGACGGGUAACGGGGAAUCAGGGUUCGAUUCCGGAGAGGCAGCCUGAGAAACGGCUACCACGUCCAAGGACGGCAGCAGGCACGCAAAUUACCCAAUCCCAGCACAUGGGGGAGGUAGUGACGAAAUAUAACGAUGCGGGCGCCCCUUUUGGGGCCCCGCAAUCGGAAUGAGCAAUUUUCUUUCUAAACACCCUGUUGAGAACCUACUGAAGGGCAAGUCUGGUGCCAGCAGCCGCGGUAAUUCCAGCUUCAGCAGCAUCUACUAAAGUUGCUGCGGUUAAAAGGCUCGCAGUUGAAUUUCAGUAUCAAGUGCAGCGAUGGUGGACGUUGGAAUGUGGGAGCAACUCGUGCGUUUUUGUGCUCUCUCGUGCGCUCUCUGGAUCAAUCUCUAUCUCUCUCGCACGUGUGUGUGUGUGCGCGCGUGCGUACAUGCGCGUGUGUGUGUGCGCGUGUGUCUGAGCAGAGUGUGUGUCAUUGUUUUUUGUGCGUUUGUGUUCGCUCUCUAKCGAGCCUCCCCGCCUAAUUCCCGUCCGUAACAAACCUCCUCCCUCGAGUACAAAAUGGUAUCCAUUGUUGGAUGAAUGUGCGCG
rnacentral:rRNA from 1 species